CUAUCUAUCCAAUAAUCCUAAUUCCUAAGUCCAACUCGUCUCUGACUCUCCUCUAACGCUAACUUCAACCCUAACGCCUCCUCCUCUCAUCUCCUCUCCUCCUCACGCCUAACUUAACAGUCCUCACACGAUCCACAUUUCACACUGCUCUGUCCAAGUUCCAACGGCGGCGGGAGUUCUCAGGCACCUUACACCAAGGAGGUACGUACAGAAAAGAGAAUGGAUGAGGUUUCUGAAAAAACCCGUGAUGCAAUGACACCUUAUCCCAAUUUGCCCGGUGAUUACCACAACUGGUUAUCCACUGUGAUCUUUUUUCAAGAAGUGAAAUCCUGUAUCAAUGUGCUUGCUCGGGAUUGUGACACUGGUUGUACGUACUAUGUUGUCAACAUCGGUUGGGACGAGUAUAUUCGUCUUGGAGAAGUUGCAUAUACUGCUGGUGACAGUAAAGUGUUCUUUAUUGGUAAUGCCGACAGUCAUGAGGACCCGGCAAUUUUCUCUCAAGAAUGCAAAGUUUAUGAUAUUCCCAAGAGGCAGUGGCUGCUGGGCUACCCAAGGUUGAGAGCUUUCAUGCCCAAGCCAGUUAUGUUUUUUGUUGAUAUGCGGCUUUAUGUGCUUUGUAGUAGUAUGUCACGUAGACAUGCACACUUUGAGAUGCUGGAUAUCAAUAAUCUUUCUCGAGGUUGGCUUUCACUACCUGAACCCGCUUUUGUUUGGACAUGUGUAAGGGUCAGUACCCAUCCUAUAAUUAUUGACUACUCCAAGAGGAUGCUGUACGUAGGUGAGUCUGACUGGGGUCUAUACACUUGCACUAGAACACUUUAUGCUUUCAGCUUGAAAGAUAAGAUUUGGAAUAAGUAUCGCCAUCCAAAAUCUUUGCCACCUUGCACCUGUAAUCUUAUGAAAGCCAGUUGGUCAAGUGGUUGUGUAAUUGUAGAAAAUCACUUGUACAAAUUCCGAAUGUACAAAUACCCUGAGAAACUUCAAGCUAUGCUAAUCAUCCGUAAUUUGGAGCAUAAUAUAAAGGUGCACAAUAAAGGAGUACAGCUCGAUUAUGUUGAUUAUAUUCACAGUUAUGGUGAUACACCCAUCGAUGGAACAUAUGAGGUUGAUCUCUCCCGCAUUGUUGACCCUAAUGUGCUUCUGCAUAAGCAUGCCAUUGGCAAGCUAAUUUAUCUAGGAAAGAGGAAUUCAGACGGAAGGUUUUGUUUGGUUAUCCGGUACUCUGUAUAUAAUGAUGUGCGUGACAGGAUUGCUCAAUAUGUGUAUGCAUGCACGUUUGACCUGGAAUCAACAGGUGAAACUUUCUAUGUCAAGAAAGUUGGCAAGUCAACCAACUCUUGUGCAGAAGAGUAUGACCGGUUGUUAGUAUCUACAUGCACUUACUUGCUUCAGGGAAGCGAAAAAGUAGAAGAAAGGGUGGGGGAGGAGGAGGAGGAGGAGGAGGAGGAGGAGGAGAAGAAGAAGAAGAAGAAGAAGAAGAUCGAGGAGGAGGAGGAGGAGGAGGAGAAGAAGAAGAAGAAGAAGAAGAAGAAGAAGAUCGAGGAGGAGGAGGAGGGGGAGGAGAAGAAGAAGAAGAAGAAGAAGAGCGAGGAGAAGAAGGAGAAGGGGAUCAGAAGCAUCAAGAGGAAGGGGAAGGUGAGGGAGGUCAAAAGCCUCCAAGAGAUCAAGGUGUUCAUCGGAAAGGAGUAUAAGAAGAAGAAGAAGUGGCAGAGGGAGCGGGAGUUGUAGGUGGAAGAGAGAAGAAGAAGUGGCUGAGGGAGAGGGAGCGGGAGUUGGAGGAGUGGAAGCAGGGGAGAUGGAGAGGGAAAUCCGGUAGAUCGAGAGAAGCAUCAGUGGGGUGUCUGUAUGAGUAGUUGGGAUUUUGGGCUUGCAAAAACAUUGAAGGCAGAUGACUUGGCUUCUUCAGUAUGUGUUUGAUACAUACUGCCGUUUAAUUUACUGUCUAGUUUUGAUAUACUGUGCAAUGAAGUGCAAAACUUUGUCUUGACUCAAGUCAUAUGCUCGUAUCCAUAUUUUGGAAGCUUGAAUAUCCUGAUGUGACCUUUUUGAUCCCUUAAAGCGAAACAAUUGAUCUGGAAACAUGUACAUUUGGAACUUGCUUUAGGGUACAUUCAAGAAUUGUGGUUCUGGUGAUAAAACAAUAUUAAAAUAUUAGGACAUUGUCAGUGGUGUUGGGCUGCAAAUACCUAAAUAAGGUUUGGAAGUUUAUUUUAAACAUUUUUGCACUGAACAGAGAAACCAAACCUGAUCAAAUGAACUAGUUAUGAAAUAACUAAGGAUGAACGAGACUCUAGGAUGCUGAUAAUGUUUUGUUCCAGGUAGGUGGAACUUCCAAUUACAUGUGCUCUGAACUUCUUGCGGACAUCCCUUAUGGUUUUAAAUCAGAUAUUUGUUCUCUAGGAAUGCAGCUUUUUAUCAUACAUGUCAUACGACAGAGUAGUUUCCGAGUGGGUAGUGAGCAGCCAGUGAUGAACACCGUGGACAGAAACGUCGUCGCUGGGAAACAGAUGAAUGCGGUAAGAGAUGAAGUUGAUAAUGACAGUCUAGGUGCUCUUGGGGGUUGGGGUUCCAAACGCUUCUACUUCUGCUGGAUCAGCUAUUCUCAAAUUCAAUAUCCCUGACGGCGUCCAUAGUAAGGAGAUUGAUGUGAGAAACCACAGCAGUCCACAAAAUUUGGAUUCUCCAGAAUCGGCUGCAGAGGAGGAAAGGCCGGUAAAGGAAAUGUUAGGUGUCAAGUCAUUUAGAUAGAGGGCAGAUGCACUUGAAGGUCUACUAGAAUUAUCUGCUGAUUUGCUGGAGCAAGACAGGUUACAAGAGCUUGCUGUUCUAAAACCUUUCGGAAAGAACAAGGUCUCACCGACGGAGACAGCUAUCUGGUUGGCCAAAAGUAUGAAGGGAAUGAUGCUCGAAGAUUCCCCGUGAAAUUCAUGAUCCAUUAUGCAGAUUGGUAUUUAAAAGUACUUGUUUUAUAGUGUAUCUCACAUGUUAUCUUUUUCAUUUUUCAAGCCAUUCAACUUCCUAUUGAAUUUGCGAAGAGAAGCAGCUAAAGAGGUGCUUAAUUUCCUUUUUCUCAUUAGUAACUAUGUAAUUCAUUCACUUCAGUAAGUGUAAAUAGAUAGAUAGAAACUUGAAUAAAUGUUUGAUCUGUAAAAUGUAAGAAUGUUUUGGAACACUAUUUUUCAUCAGAUA